GUGUGCUCAGAGCUCUAGCUUAUCUGCAUGCAAGGGAAUAAACGGGAAUAAAGCGAAAGCUUUUGACGAGAGAGCGAGCUUUGGGCUAUCUUGGUGGGUUAUCUAGCCCUUGUGCUUUAGAAUGGGAUGAAGAAACAAAAUCAAAGCUCAAGCGCUGGAUCAUUCGAUCCAUGGAACUAAAUUGUGGAAGGUCAGUUUGGUGGUACGGCGAGAUAAAAGAAAAGAAAAGAAUAAAAGGUUAUACACGUGUCUGAAAAAAAAAGAAAAAUUGAAAUCAAUAAAUCGUCGAAAGUAGGGUGCACAUGCCAAGCUGCCCCAAAAAUUAAGAUCAAUGUUCUCAAGGAUAAACCCGGUUUCAAGCCCCAAACGGGGUCUGAGCUUUGCCAGUCGAUCUCGGUUUCUCCAGUGUAAUUUAAUAUUGACGAAAGUUAUCCAACGGAGGUCAAACUUCUGCCGCACAACGAAAAUUUGCGAUCAACCUUAUUUUUGACCUUGGCAGAGGACAUACAGUUGCCUCUGAAAUUCUAUGUCGUGGCCUGGAUAGGCACAGACAUAUCCAUAUCGGAUGUCUUCAAGGAAAAGGAAUGACACACACACACACACACACUGAAUUCAACCGUAGCUACUAUUGCUAUUAUUAUUAUUUUUUUUGCAUUUAAAUUUUGUACAUUAUAAUCUAAUCUAGGACACAUCGAUGCAUGCAGGCCUGUUGCAGCGAUGGAAAACCAAACAUAAAUAAGAUGUUAUGAAGAUUUGAGGUGAUGCUGAGGAUGGUUGUUAGUUGGAGUGGAGUUAAAAUAUGAAAAUACACUGAAGAUUGAUCAACAUGAAA